rnacentral:lncRNA from 1 species
CUUUCGUUUCCAUGCCUACCGGUUGGAGGUUUUGUACCUAGUGUACUUGAGUAGAACAGUAUCAAUUCAAGCACAAUUUACCUGGGUCCUGACUAGAAAUAUGGACUGGUACAUUUGGAUGUUACAAGAGAUUCCAUCCCGGGUACCUGUUUUCUAGAAAUGGCACUGGAAGACAACCUAGCGUGUAUGGGACAAGACCUGUCAUCUACAAGCGUGAAGCCCUCUGCCAGCCCCUUAACCUGCUGGCCACGUGCACACAGUCUGCUCUCACAGUCACCUUUAGUCAUAGCAAAUGCAGUCUUCUGUCCAGAAAAGGAAGCCAAGUUCUUAUCCUAAGAGCCGGAACCCCUACCUUCUCUUUGAGGAGUGGACAAUGUACGUACAGAAUACAGCUUUGCUUACUUUCUGUCCUAAUAUCCUGGGGCUACUGUGUCUUGCUCCAAGCCUCUCUGAUUCUAUUCUGGACAUCUCUCAAUAGACAUUUCUGUAUCUUGUUACCAAACACAAACAUGGAUAUAAGAAUUUUUAAGAUUCGAAGCCCUAUGCUAGUCAUAACUGAUUCACAUGUCAAGGGUCUUUGAUGUUGAAUUGUUAAUUGUCUUCCAUGCAAGUCUCAUCUCAGUAGCUAUAAAAUGUUCAACACAGAGAGAAAAAUAUACUUUUUAAGCCAUGAGCAGCUAAUGGAUGGAGUAGCUUACAUCAGAAAGAUAAAACCUGUUGCUACCGACUUUGGAUGGGAAUUUAUAACUCUAUAUUUUUGAGAAUUUUUGUUUUGCCUUUUGCAACAGGGUCUCACUAUGUAGUUCAGGCUGGCCUUGAGCUCUCUUUGUAGCCCAGGCUGGCCUCGAACUGGCAGCAAGC